rnacentral:rRNA from 1 species
UAGUGGCGAACGGGUGAGUAACACGUGGGCAAUCUGCCCUUCACUCUGGGACAAGCCCUGGAAACGGGGUCUAAUACCGGAUAACACCUGCCCGGGCAUCCGGGUGGGUUAAAAGCUCCGGCGGUGAAGGAUGAGCCCGCGGCCUAUCAGCUUGUUGGUGAGGUAGUGGCUCACCAAGGCGACGACGGGUAGCCGGCCUGAGAGGGCGACCGGCCACACUGGGACUGAGACACGGCCCAGACUCCUACGGGAGGCAGCAGUGGGGAAUAUUGCACAAUGGGCGAAAGCCUGAUGCAGCGACGCCGCGUGAGGGAUGACGGCCUUCGGGUUGUAAACCUCUUUCAGCAGGGAAGAAGCGAAAGUGACGGUACCUGCAGAAGAAGCGCCGGCUAACUACGUGCCAGCAGCCCGCGGUAAUACGUAGGGCGCAAGCGUUGUCCGGAAUUAUUGGGCGUAAAGAGCUCGUAGGCGGCUUGUCACGUCGGGUGUGAAAGCCCGGGGCUUAACCCCGGGUCUGCAUUCGAUACGGGCUAGCUAGAGUGUGGUAGGGGAGAUCGGAAUUCCU